UACGUUGGGGGCUAGCGUUGUCCGGAAUCAUUGGGCGUAAAGAGCGUGUAGGCGGUCCGGUAAGUCCGCUGUGAAAGUCGGGGGCUCAACCCUCGAAUGCCGGUGGAUACUGUCGGGCUAGAGUGCGGAAGAGGCGAGUGGAAUUCCUGGUGUAGCGGUGAAAUGCGCAGAUAUCAGGAGGAACACCUAUUGCGAAGGCAGCUCGCUGGGACGUUACUGACGCUGAGACGCGAAAGCGUGGGGAGCAAACAGG
rnacentral:rRNA from 1 species